UACAUGGGGGUGCAAACGUUGCUCGGAAUUUAUUGGGCGUAAAGCGCGCGUAGGCGGUUACUCAAGUCGGAUGUGAAAGCCCUCGGCUUAACUGAGGAAGUGCACCCGAAACUGAGUAGCUAGAGUACUAAAGAGGGUCGCGGAAUUCCCGGUGUAGAGGUGAAAUUCGUAGAUAUCGGGAGGAACACCGGUGGCGAAGGCGGCGACCUGGGUAGAUACUGACGCUGAGGCGCGAAACGUGGGGAGCAAACAGG
rnacentral:rRNA from 1 species